GACGCCGGACGCAGCUUCCUCUUCUUUUCUUCGCGUCGCCCUCCAACCCCACCCACCGCCGCCACCCAGCACCACAAACCCGCAUGAUCCCUCUCCGCGUCCUUGGUUGCCGACUUCCGAUAAGCUUCGACGCCGCGCACGCACGAGCUAGCCCAAAGCUCCAGCAUAUUAUCCCCAAUUUCGGAAGAGGUCCGAUCCCCGGUCCGAUCCAGAACACCCUUUUUAUUUUUCUAGGGUUUGGUUUUGGCCCGUGGAUCUAGGGUUUGGUGAGCUAAAUUUCCCGCGAUUCCUUUCGAUUGCUGGGAUUUGUUGUGCCUGCGCAUCAUGGCCGCGGGGCGCCACGGAGGGUACAGUGGUUACGAGGCGUCGAAGGAGCGGGAGUUCGAUCUGGAGGCUUCUAGAAGGGGAAAGGAUUACCAUCACCGCAACCCUAGCCGCCAUCGCGACUCAGAUCGUCGUCGCGAUGGCGGCCGGAGCAGGGACCGGGAGCCGUCAAAUGGGCACACCCGCCACCGGUCGCCACAUCUGCCACCGAAGAGCCGGCCGUCUGGGAGGAGGGAGGAGAGGGAACCUGGCGAGGUUUCGAGCGGAAGUGGCUCGGAAGGGUCUCGUGGGCGGCCGCUCAAGGCAAGGGAACCUGGUGUGAAUGGUGUUGUUGGGGUCAGCAGGGAGGGCGGGGUGCCGUCCCCAAGUAAGAAGAGAAAAUACUCGCUGGUUAUUUUGGAUAGGAAUGCUUCAAAGCCUCGCGUCCAAGAUGUCGGCAACCCGAGCAUGAAAGAGGUAGGCACUGUGGUUGCCAACCCGAGCAGCAUUGAUUUUGAUGCGUCGGUUGAUGUACAAAAUGUUGAAAGAUUACAGGAGCACGACAAUGAUAGGGUUAUUAUGGAGAAGGAUGAGGAGGAUGCUUAUCCAACAAUGAUAAACAUUAGGACUUCACGAUGGGCAGAUGCUGAUGACGAGGAAGAAAUUGUGUCAAAGAAGAAGAAAAGUGUGUCACCAGAACAAGGGUCCGUGAAAAAGGUUACAAGCCCAGAGCUUGGAAAGUUGAUGGUGGAUAAAGACUCAAACUCCUCAGUGUCUUCUGACUCUGGCGUAGUACAGUUUAGUGCAAACAGGGAUCUUGAAGUAGAUAAGGGUGACUACAUGGAUAUCGAGAAGGAUGCUGGGGAUGAUUCUUCUGCUCUUUGUGGGAUGCACACUGAUUCUGAGAGUCAUCGGUGUAGCUCUAGAACCCCAGAGCCCGCAGGGUCGCCGCAUAGGUGCAUUAACAUGCUUCAGGGUUGUAGGGGUGUUGACGAGUUUGAGAGGCUCAACACAAUUAAUGAGGGUACAUACGGUAUUGUAUCUAGGGCAAAGGAUAAGAAAACUGGUGAGAUUGUUGCAUUGAAGAAGGUAAAGAUGGAGAAUGAACGGGAAGGUUUCCCACUGACUUCUCUCAGGGAAAUAAAUAUCCUGCUAUCGUUCCAUCACCCAUCGAUUGUGGAUGUCAAGGAAAUAGUCGUUGGGAGUGGUGACAGCACCUAUAUGGUGAUGGAGUACAUGGAGCACGAUCUCAAGGCUGUCAUGGAGACUAUGAAACAACCAUAUAGUCAAAGUGAGGUCAAAUGUUUGAUGCUUCAGCUGCUAGAAGGUGUGAAGUAUCUUCAUGACAAUUGGGUGAUUCACAGGGAUCUCAAGACGUCUAAUAUUCUCUUGAAUAACCGCGGUGAGUUGAAAAUAUGUGAUUUUGGGCUCUCUCGUCAAUAUGGCAGCCCACUAAAGCCUUACACUCAAUUGGUUGUGACUUUGUGGUACAGGGCUCCAGAACUACUGUUAGGCGCAAAGAAAUAUUCCACUGCUAUUGAUAUGUGGUCGUUGGGUUGUAUUAUGGCAGAACUCCUUUCAAAAAAGCCACUGUUUGAUGGGAAACGUGACAUCGACCAACUUAGUAAGAUAUUUAGAAUGCUUGGUACACCUAACGAGGACAUAUGGCCUGGUUGUUCUAAAUUACCGGGCGCCAAGGCCAAAUUUGCCAAACAACCGUACAAUAGAUUAAGGGAAAAGUUUCCAGCUGUAUCUUUCACUGGUGGGCUGACCCUGUCAGAGGCUGGAUUUGACCUGCUAAACAGAAUGCUGACGUAUGACCCUGAAACGCGCAUAUCAGCAGAGGAUGCGUUGAACCAUGAAUGGUUCUGUGAAGUACCAUUGCCUCAGUCAAGGGAUUCUAUGCCAACAUUUCAUUCCCUUAAUGAACAAGACAGGCGCAUGAUGAAACGUAUGAAGAGCCCUGAUCCUCUGGAGGAGCAACGAAUGAAAGAACUAGGGAGCAUACACGACCGUGGAAUUUUUAGCUGAGCCCUGAUCUUUUGGUUUGCUGCAGAUGCCAAUCUUCAACAUGAACCUAUGGAAGUGCACGUGUUCCAAGGUCAGAUGUCCACUGGAUAUAUGAAGUACACCGUCUUCUUGGUGUCUGGCGACAGUUGGUGGCCUUCUUUAGCAGGCAUGGAUGCAUAAUCAGAAGGGGAUAAGAUUUCUCCUUGUAUUCCGUGCUAGGCACUAUUUAAUUUACAGGGUUAGCUCUUCCCCAACUUCUGGUCACAAUGAACUCUUACUUUACUUUUGGUCACAAUCUAAUCCACUGUGCAUUGUAAGGUGUGCAAAUAUCUCAUACAGCUGCAUCGUAUGGUCUGGCCUAUUCACAGCUAUUGGGUACACCAGUUUCACAUACCGAUCUUCUGUAUGUAAAGUACUGUAAAGUGUAUUCCUUGUAAACAACAAUCAAUGAUAUCUUCUCACUUCAUUUUUCCUUGUUAAGCACAUUUUAUUUUGAUCUUUGCAUAUUCUCUGCAAGAGAUGAAUGAAGCGAAGAAGGGGAGUACCUUUUGCUUUUUCGCGAGGAAACUGGUGCAUAGUAAUGCAAAUUGUAAGCUUAAGCUGUGGCUAUCAAGACAGGAAGCUCGAGUGCUGUCAGCUUACCUUGCUUAAUUGACUUUCUUUGUGGAAGGUAUCCAAGUUCUGUUACUCUUGUGAAUCUUAGUUGGUCAGUAUACUAUCCUAUCUUGGUAUGUUUUCUUGCUAGUAGUUUUCUUUGGUAACUGAUUACCAUUUCCUUGGUUGACAAAUAGAUUAUUUUUAAAUCUGUUCAGAGUUCAGGCGAUCUCAUCAUUUACCUUAAUAUUGCUACAUGAUCCCUUGAAGAGUUGCCUGUUUUCUGGCUCUAUAUUUCCGAAGAUGCACGCCAUUGUCAUGAAAUGCUGCACUUUAUAAUUUGAUAAAAAAAUGUGGAUUCCGUAUGCUUUGCUUACUACAGGAAAACUCACGGGUGCUGGUAAAAACAAGACUAGUUUUCAUUUAAAUAAAUCAUGUUUAGUUUCCUUAAUGUUCUGAUAAUUUACCUACGGAUGCCUUGUACUCCCUCCGUUCCAAAAUAGAUGACUCAGCUUUGUACUAACUUUAGUACAAAGUUGGGUCAUCUAUUUUGGAACGGAGGGAGUAGUUAUCAGUUCAUUUUUAUUUAAUCCCUGUCAACCAUGUGCCACCACCCACCAGUGGACAUGAUGAUUCUUGGUUGAACAUUUGUUGGAUAAUUCCAGUAGUUAGUUAUUUGCAGCGACCUAUUAAUUGCUCUCUCUCAAGUAGAUAGUACCACCGGUGGAGAAGAGAGCACUGUUUUUUUUUAUAGAUAUGGCCCUUUUGUAUUGAAUUCCUUGCCCCACUUCUGAAUGCAAUGCUUAUCAGUACUAAAAAACCCAGAACACAGACCCAUACAUUUUGUUCUUUUGGCGAGGGGUAUUCUGUUGUUGUGGCAUUUGGAUUAUUUUUACACAGUUUAGACAUCUCUUCAAAUUCCUACAAAUCGGUAACUUAUGUAGUGGUCAGAACUAACCUAGAUAAGGGCGGAGUGAAACAAGUUUGAAGUGCAAAUGAACUGCUGGCUCGUGCCACUGUUGCGCCUAAUCGGGCUGCUUGUUAGCUAUUUCUGUCUUUGCUGCUUGCGACUUGGGCGGCAUGCUGGCUUGUGCCGGUACAGACGGAGAAAGGAAUAGGAGUGAGAUUCAGCCAAGUGGGAUGUUGAUAUGAUGUUUAUGUUUGCAUCGAGACAGCUCUCUCUCAAGUAAAUGGUACCACUGGUGGAGAAGAGAGCCUUGUUUUUAUAGAUAUGACCCUUUUGCAUUGAAAUUCCUUGCCCCACUUCUGAAUGAAAUGCUUAUCAGUAUUAAGCGAAAUCAGAACACAGAUCCAUUUAUUUUGUUCUUUCAUCGAGGGGUAUUUAUAGAGUUCAGAUCUGUCGAAAUUUCUACAAAGAUGGUAACUUAUGUAGUGGCUCUUGCCACUGCUGCGCCUCAUUAAGUGCUACUCGUUAGCUAUUUCUGUCUUUGCUGCCAGCGACUUGGGCGUCCUGCUGACUUGUGCAGGUACCGACAAUGGAAAAGAGAAUGAGUGAGAUUCAGGCAAGUGAGAUGUUGAUGCGAUGCUUUUGUUUGCAUCAAGACAGAAACAAAGAAGCUCUAUUGUGAGUGCUGGACCGAACUGUUUAUGGGUUCUCACUUGCAUAUCCUUCAUGAAUUCCUACACAAAAUCAUGCACCACUAUUGUUUUCUAUCAUUGUUUUCUACUCCCUCUGUUCCAAAAUAAGUGUCAUGGAUUUAGUUCAAAUUUGAACCAUGUCAGUUAUUUUGGAACAGAGUAUUUGUAUAAGUUGAUUGUAUUGUGUUAGUUUAGAUAGAAGACUGUUAAGUCGUGUCCAUAGUGGGCUAUCUAAAAGGUUGAUGGUUUCAAACUUCUUUAGUGGCACUUCAUCUUUAGUUAUCAGUUACAGCGUGGUAAAUAUUUUACUGGACAGUUCAUUGAAAUGUCGUUUCUUAUUCCGUGAAUGCAAGAUCAUUGUCAAAGGCAUGUCUGUAUUCAGUGAAUGCAAGAUCAUUCUCAAAGGCAUGCAGUUCAUUGAAAUAUCGUUUCUUAUUCCGUGAAUGCAAGAUCAUUGUCAAAGGCAUGUCUGUAUUCCGUGAAUGAAAGAUCAUUCUCAAAGGCAUGCCGGUUUCCAGCGCAUCCUCUUGGUCAGCUGUUGCAGACGAAAUGCCUGCAGCAGAGCAUUCUACGAUGAACCUUAUUGUACCUUUUCAAAACAAAUUAGUACAUACAUUUUGGACAGAAAUGCUAUCUAACAUUGUAAACCAUUUCUCUAUUUUGCUGUCGUUUCUAAGUCAAGGGUCAAUUCUGCUGUAGCCUGAGUUUUUGAAUGAAAGUGCUGAAAUUUUGAUCAAAUAAGUUUGGCUUGGAAGCCUUGUAAAUCAUGGCAAGGUCUGGUGAUGUGCCCCCCAAUGCCAAAGGUUUACUUGGGUGCUUUCCAACUGUUGAAACUGUUGAACAAAAGACAAGCACGGCCAUUUGUUUUGAUGCAAGUAUCCAAGAGUCUUCACGUUAUAAUCUUCCGACCAUGUUACAGCUUGGGUCUUUUUGCUUUGAGGUUUCACCCAACGAGCCAGAGAAGGAUAAAGUGAAGCCAAACUUCAGGACCCCUCCAACAUGAAUUAAUAUCAGUACUACUUUUCAUGUCUGCUGGAGUAGUGCCAAGCAUGCAGGCAAACAAAUUAGCAAUAAGUUCUGGUUAGCUAGUUUAGUUUUUCUCUCCGAGAUGUAAAAGGAGAGGAUAUCGCAUGUUAGUUCAGGUCAUCAAGUCGGUUACAUAUUUUAGGCCCUUACGGCAUGUGAGCUUAUAUAAAGGAGGAGUCGCGAGUCUUGUAAGGGAGAUUAGUUUUGAGUUGAAUAGAAAAAUACCAGAAAAUGCCUCACGGCGAGGGGUGGCAAAGAUGCGUUUUGCGAUUCCUAGGGUCUCGUUGUUGUUGUUCCUGUGUUGAUCUCGUAUCAAUAUCCGGUACAAGUCUACUCCUUUGGCUUCUUGCUAUAUGGUUUUGAUCCAAAGGCUUUUCUUCUUCUUAGUCUGUUUGUUUUAUUCUGCGACGGUUGCUGCUGCUGUUCAUUGAUAUUUUGCAAGUACCGUGAAGGAUCGGACCAACUAGCGACUCGUCGUCUAGUCGAGUCACAUCAUCUGGUCCAGUAUUUGAUAAUCUUCUAUGUAGUAUCGAAACUGCCUCCUUUCACGCGAACAUUUCGAAUAAGAAAUGCUAUCCAGUUUCAAUAGGCAUUUCUCUAUUUUUGUUGUCGUUAGGUCAAGGAUCAAUUGUGCGGUAGCCAGAGUUCUUAAAUGAAGUGUUUAAAGGUUUUGAUCAAAGUUUGGCUUGGAAGCCUUUUAAAGCAUCGCUAAGGUCAGGUCCAGUAUUUGAUAAUCUUGGACUAUCGAGAACUGCCUCCAUUCAUGAUGUAUGUGCAUUUGAUUUUGACAGUAAAUAUCUUGAUUCCUACUCAAUAAUUCAAGAUAUCACCUGAGCCUGCCCCCAUGCAAUUUAUUGCAUAUUUUGCAGGUUCACGUUUGGGAAUUAAAGUGUAUUAAUUAUUAUCCUGUGUGGAUUAUGGUUUGUUAGUAGUGUUAACAUAUGAUCACGACUAGUAAGAUGGAGAAGUGCUCUUUUAUUUCUAGCUUUUAUUGUAUUUUUGGUUGCACCACCUGUGCCAGCUUGUCUCCAACUGGAUUAGCCUGUCCUAACCCAUCAUACACUAAUGUCUGCAUAUGAAGGAUAAAAUCACCUCCGUAACUAAAUAUGAGACUUUUUUUAGUUCAAUUUGAACUGCAAAAACAUCUUAUAUUUAGUUGCAGAGGCAGCAUUAACUUGUACUCCCCAGUUUAUUUGAUGUAUAUAUGCCCUUCCUAACCCUGUGCACAGCAACGAUGGAACUUGAAUUAGUAUUGCAGAGGCAAAGAAGCUUCUGCGGUCUCUCUGGCUUCUGACCAUUUGUGUUCUGUCAGACCGAAAAAGCCCUAAGGUGUUGCAAGAGUGCCUGCAGAUAAAGUUAGUACAAAGUUGAGACAUUUAUUUUGGGAUGGGGGGAGUAUUUCUUUUACCUUUUAGGGUUAUGGUUGUAUCUAUCUAAAUUUGGUAAAGUGAUGUGGUAUCAAGAUGAGUACAACUUGUUUUCUUUUUCCUGUAACGUGGUAACAAUGUCCCUGACAGUUUUGCCGUCUGAGAUUUCUGGAUAAUGUGCAGCUGAUUCACCUGAGAAUAUGUCUUCAUGAGAUAAAGCAAUAUAACUUGUUUGUAGUGGGCUUUGCUAGCGACAAUGAACUGUAAAAUGAGGCGGUAUAUCUCACCAAGGAAAAGGAAGUUGGAAAACAAUUGUGCAAGCUAUUUGAAAGGGAAGAGAUAAUAGCCCGUCUAGAGUAGAGUGGACCAAAGUUGGAGACCGCAACACUUCUUUUUUCCAUGCUAGGGCGUCAGUAAUAUGAAGAACAAACAUGAUUAAAGGUUUGUGAAGGGCUGAAAGUGUGAAGAUCAGAAAGGCAUGUUAAGCCUAGUCCAUGAAUUUUGUGUGAACCUGUUUUCUUCUGAACAAUGUUCAUUACUAAAUGAAGUAUUGAAUGCAAUUCCAAGGAAAUUCGAUGAUGAAAUGAAUGAAGUUUUGGCCAGGGAAUACACCAACGAAGAAAGUAAAUAUGCUCUAUUCUAGAUGGGGCCGACAAAGGCAUCGAGGCCAUAUGGAUUUUCGGCUAUCUUUUAUC
rnacentral:rRNA from 1 species